AGAGUUUGAUCAUGGCUCAGAAUCAACGCUGGCGGCGUGCCUAACACAUGCAAGUCGAGCGAGAAAAGGGGAGCAAUCCUCUGAGUAAAGCGGCGCACGGGUGAGUAACACGUGGGUAAUCUGCCCUGGAGUGGGGAAUAACACCGGGAAACCGGUGCUAAUACCGCAUACGAUCACGAUUUCUGCGGAUGACGUGAUGAAAGGAGCAAUUCGCUCCAGGAGGAGCCCGCGGCUGAUUAGCUAGUUGGUGAGGUAAUGGCUCACCAAGGCUACGAUCAGUAUCCGGUCUGAGAGGACGGUCGGACACACUGGAACUGAGACACGGUCCAGACUCCUACGGGAGGCAGCAGUGGGGAAUUUUUCGCAAUGGGGGCAACCCUGACGAAGCAACGCCGCGUGGAUGAUGAAGUAUCUCGGUACGUAAAAUCCUUUCGACAGGGAAGAAACCCGCAAGGGUUGACGGUACCUGUAGAAGAAGCCCCGGCUAACUCCGUGCCAGCCGCCGCGGUAAUUC
rnacentral:rRNA from 1 species